UACGAAGGGGGCUAGCGUUGCUCGGAAUCACUGGGCGUAAAGCGCACGUAGGCGGGUCUUUAAGUCAGGGGUGAAAUCCUGGAGCUCAACUCCAGAACUGCCUUUGAUACUGAAGAUCUUGAGUCCGGGAGAGGUGAGUGGAACUGCGAGUGUAGAGGUGAAAUUCGUAGAUAUUCGCAAGAACACCAGUGGCGAAGGCGGCUCACUGGCCCGGUACUGACGCUGAGGCACGAAGGCGUGGGGAGCAAACAGG
rnacentral:rRNA from 1 species